rnacentral:rRNA from 1 species
UUUAUGGAGAGUUUGAUCCUGGCUCAGGAUGAACGCUGGCGGCGUGCCUAAUACAUGCAAGUCGAGCGAACGGACGAGAAGCUUGCUUCUCUGAUGUUAGCGGCGGACGGGUGAGUAACACGUGGAUAACCUACCUAUAAGACUGGGAUAACUUCGGGAAACCGGAGCUAAUACCGGAUAAUAUUUUGAACCGCAUGGUUCAAAAGUGAAAGACGGUCUUGCUGUCACUUAUAGAUGGAUCCGCGCUGCAUUAGCUAGUUGGUAAGGUAACGGCUUACCAAGGCAACGAUGCAUAGCCGACCUGAGAGGGUGAUCGGCCACACUGGAACUGAGACACGGUCCAGACUCCUACGGGAGGCAGCAGUAGGGAAUCUUCCGCAAUGGGCGAAAGCCUGACGGAGCAACGCCGCGUGAGUGAUGAAGGUCUUCGGAUCGUAAAACUCUGUUAUUAGGGAAGAACAUAUGUGUAAGUAACUGUGCACAUCUUGACGGUACCUAAUCAGAAAGCCACGGCUAACUACGUGCCAGCAGCCGCGGUAAUACGUAGGUGGCAAGCGUUAUCCGGAAUUAUUGGGCGUAAAGCGCGCGUAGGCGGUUUUUUAAGUCUGAUGUGAAAGCCCACGGCUCAACCGUGGAGGGUCAUUGGAAACUGGAAAACUUGAGUGCAGAAGAGGAAAGUGGAAUUCCAUGUGUAGCGGUGAAAUGCGCAGAGAUAUGGAGGAACACCAGUGGCGAAGGCGACUUUCUGGUCUGUAACUGACGCUGAUGUGCGAAAGCGUGGGGAUCAAACAGGAUUAGAUACCCUGGUAGUCCACGCCGUAAACGAUGAGUGCUAAGUGUUAGGGGGUUUCCGCCCCUUAGUGCUGCAGCUAACGCAUUAAGCACUCCGCCUGGGGAGUACGACCGCAAGGUUGAAACUCAAAGGAAUUGACGGGGACCCGCACAAGCGGUGGAGCAUGUGGUUUAAUUCGAAGCAACGCGAAGAACCUUACCAAAUCUUGACAUCCUUUGACAACUCUAGAGAUAGAGCCUUCCCCUUCGGGGGACAAAGUGACAGGUGGUGCAUGGUUGUCGUCAGCUCGUGUCGUGAGAUGUUGGGUUAAGUCCCGCAACGAGCGCAACCCUUAAGCUUAGUUGCCAUCAUUAAGUUGGGCACUCUAAGUUGACUGCCGGUGACAAACCGGAGGAAGGUGGGGAUGACGUCAAAUCAUCAUGCCCCUUAUGAUUUGGGCUACACACGUGCUACAAUGGACAAUACAAAGGGCAGCGAAACCGCAAGGUCAAGCAAAUCCCAUAAAGUUGUUCUCAGUUCGGAUUGUAGUCUGCAACUCGACUACAUGAAGCUGGAAUCGCUAGUAAUCGUAGAUCAGCAUGCUACGGUGAAUACGUUCCCGGGUCUUGUACACACCGCCCGUCACACCACGAGAGUUUGUAACACCCGAAGCCGGUGGAGUAACCUUUUAGGAGCUAGCCGUCGAAGGUGGGACAAAUGAUUGGGGUGAAGUCGUAACAAGGUAGCCGUAUCGGAAGGUGCGGCUGGAUCACCUCCUUUCU